rnacentral:rRNA from 1 species
CCUACGGGUGGCUGCAGUGGGGAAUAUUGCACAAUGGGGGAAACCCUGAUGCAGCGACGCCGCGUGAGUGAAGAAGUAUUUCGUUAUGUAAAGCUCUAUCAGCAGGGAAGAAAAUGACGGUACCUGACUAAGAAGCCCCGGCUAACUACGUGCCAGCAGCCGCGGUAAUACGUAGGGGGCAAGCGUUAUCCGGAUUUACUGGGUGUAAAGGGAGCGUAGACGGCAGCGCAAGUCUGGAGUGAAAUGCCGUGGCUGAACCAUGGAACUGCUCUGGAAACUGUGCGGCUGGAGUGCAGGAGAGGUAAGUGGAAUUCCUAGUGUAGCGGUGAAAUGCGUAGAUAUUAGGAGGAACACCAGUGGCGAAGGCGGCUUACUGGACUGUAACUGACGUUGAGGCUCGAAAGCGUGGGGAGCAAACAGGAUUAGAUACCCGGGUAGUC